rnacentral:rRNA from 1 species
CAACGCGAAGAACCUUACCUGGGUUUGACAUGUAGAGAAAAGCCACAGAGAUGUGGUGUCCUUCGGGGUUCUACACAGGUGGUGCAUGGUUGUCGUCAGCUCGUGUCGUGAGAUGUUGGGUUAAGUCCCGCAACGAGCGCAACCCUUGUCCUAUGUUGCCAGCACGUAAUGGUGGGGACUCGUAGGAGACUGCCGGGGUCAACUCGGAGGAAGGUGGGGAUGACGUCAAAUCAUCAUGCCCCUUAUAUCCAGGGCUGCAAACAUGCUACAAUGGCCGGUACAAAGGGCUGCUAAACCGCGAGGUGGAGCGAAUCCCAUAAAGCCGGUCUCAGUUCGGAUUGGAGUCUGCAACUCGACUCCAUGAAGCUGGAGUUGCUAGUAAUCCCGGAUCAGCAACGCCGGGGUGAAUACGUUCCCGGGCCUUGUACACACCGCCCGUCACACCAUGAAAGUUGGAAAACGCCCGAAGCCAGUGGCCCAACCCUUUGGGAGGGAGCUGUCGAAGGUGGAAUCAGCGAUUAGGGUGAA